rnacentral:lncRNA from 1 species
AUGCUCGUUCACGUUUACACCCUAGGAAUCCAAAAAACUGCCACUGAAACGCGACAAUUCCUUCGGAAAAUGGAAAUUCAGACUAACACUGAAGAGAAUUUUAUGUUUUUAAAUGACGACGAAUCAUCCAUUAUUGGAUUUGCGCCAUGUAGUAAUUUUAGGUUAUUAUGUGACUUUGAACAAAUUUAUGAGGAGAAAAUUUAUCAGGCAACUUUUCAUAAGUAAUUUCAUGUUAUUAUGUGACGUUGAACAAAUUUAUGAGGAGAAAAUUUAUCAGGCAACUUUUCAUAAGUAUUUAGUAAGUAUUGUGUGGAUUUAUUUCCACUAUUAAGUAUUCACUGUUCACUAACGCAAAUACAGUGAGACUCAAUUUAUCUAUGGAGGACAAAUUUACGGGACUCAACUUACCCUCAAAAGAUCGUUUAGGACUAAACUUACCUUUUCCCUACUAGACAAUGUAACUAUAUCAUUUAGUAUGCGAUUUCACGCAAGUAAAUUAAUGUUUUUCCUAUGAGCGGAUUGUUUAUCUUGUUGUUGUCAAUGUUUUUUCCAUUGAAUUUAUGCAUCGAAGAACGUUAAUUCCCUGUUCAGGUCAGUAAUGUUUCUUGCAAAAAUCAUGUUCUAUGUGCAAUUUUGAUGAGAAAACAUAGCGCAAAUUGUUGAAGUGCGAGACGACACGACGUAUCUCCGUUGCGACAUUUUAGACUUCGAGUCGAACUUUAUUUUUCCUCGGAAAACUAGUAACCGGGACUUGUCGAAAACUUCCUUGUCACUUUCUUCUCCGUUAGUAGAAUAUAGCCGGAAAUUUGACUUCAUCCUCUAUGAAAAUAUAAACUAAGAGCGGAGCUAACACCACAAUGAAGAUAAAUGGUGUCGCACAAACAUCGAAAUCUGCGCAGAAAAUUAAUGACAUGUUUUUUAACCAGGAGCGCAGAUGUUGGAACACGGCAACAAAGAGACGUGGUUUCACACUUUAGCCAUCGAUGAAACAUCAUGCUUUUUGCACUUUUUCUGGUGGACCAUUCAACAUUGCGACGAUUAGACUGCGACUACGCAUGAGAAAAAGUCCCGGAUUUAGUUAAUGUUUUGAAUAGCUGACAUAAUUUGGAAGAAAAUGGUGUAUACAUAUACUAGGUUUGCUUAAAAAUUGAGGAAGAUACAGCAUCGUCACCUCACAGGGAGAAUAUAUUUUUGUUGCUGGCAGCUUCUGAUUGGCUGGAGAAAGAACAAGAGGGGCUGCCAACCUAAACAUAGUCAGGUUACACAUGUAUGACAGACCAAUAUUUACUAAGUCCAACAAUUCAAACCUCCAAAGAUGUAAGAACUGAAGCUUCAGAUGUGUGAUCCGAACCUCGACAGCUAGACCUUAAGUGCUCAGAUGCUCAAUAUGAAAACUUCAGAGAUCCAUAUGACUUAAACUUCGGAUCCCACGCGCGAGUUUUUUUUUCUCCAUGCACAUUGUGCAGAAUAAAUAACGGAAUAAAAUUUCAGCCCUUGCCCACAAAUCUCAUUGAUGAUCUCAUAUUCGCCAAAAACGUCCACUGUUUUUCGCUCAAAAGGCCUCUUUUUCCUCGUUUUC